CGGCGGACGGGUGAGUAACACGUGGAUAACCUACCUAUAAGACUGGGAUAACUUCGGGAAACCGGAGCUAAUACCGGAUAAUAUAUUGAACCGCAUGGUUCAAUAGUGAAAGACGGUUUUGCUGUCACUUAUAUAUGGAUCCGCGCCGCAUUAGCUAGUUGGUAAGGUAACGGCUUACCAAGGCAACGAUGCGUAGCCGACCUGAGAGGGUGAUCGGCCACACUGGAACUGAGACACGGUCCAGACUCCUACGGGAGGCAGCAGAC
rnacentral:rRNA from 1 species